GAACCUGAGAGUUUGAUCCUGGCUCAGAACGAACGCUGGCGGCAUGCCUAACACAUGCAAGUCGAACGAAGGCUUCGGCCUUAGUGGCGCACGGGUGAGUAACACGUGGGAACCUGCCUUAUGGUUCGGAAUAACGUUUGGAAACGGACGCUAACACCGGAUGUGCCCUUCGGGGGAAAGUUUACGCCAUGAGAGGGGCCCGCGUCUGAUUAGCUAGUUGGUGGGGUAAAGGCCUACCAAGGCGACGAUC
rnacentral:ncRNA from 1 species